rnacentral:rRNA from 1 species
GUCGAGCGGAUGAAGAGAGCUUGCUCUCUGAUUCAGCGGCGGACGGGUGAGUAAUGCCUAGGAAUCUGCCUGGUAGUGGGGGACAACGUCUCGAAAGGGACGCUAAUACCGCAUACGUCCUACGGGAGAAAGCAGGGGACCUUCGGGCCUUGCGCUAUCAGAUGAGCCUAGGUCGGAUUAGCUAGUUGGUGAGGUAAUGGCUCACCAAGGCGACGAUCCGUAACUGGUCUGAGAGGAUGAUCAGUCACACUGGAACUGAGACACGGUCCAGACUCCUACGGGAGGCAGCAGUGGGGAAUAUUGGACAAUGGGCGAAAGCCUGAUCCAGCCAUGCCGCGUGUGUGAAGAAGGUCUUCGGAUUGUAAAGCACUUUAAGUUGGGAGGAAGGGCAGUAACUUAAUACGUUGCUGUUUUGACGUUACCGACAGAAUAAGCACCGGCUAACUCUGUGCCAGCAACCGCGGUAAUACAGAGGGUGCAAGCGUUA